CUACAGAGGGUGCGAGCGUUAAUCGGAAUUACUGGGCGUAAAGCGCGCGUAGGCGGCUUAUUAAGUCAGAUGCGAAAUCCCCGGGCUCAACCUGGGAACUGCAUCUGAUACUGGUAAGCUAGAGUUUUGGAGAGGGAAGUAGAAUUUCAGGUGUAGCGGUGAAAUGCAUAGAGAUCUGAAGGAAUACCAGUGGCGAAGGCGACUUCCUGGCCAAAAACUGACGCUGAGGUGCGAAAGCGUGGGUAGCAAACGGGAUUAGAAACCCCAGUAGUCC
rnacentral:rRNA from 1 species